rnacentral:rRNA from 1 species
GACGAACGCUGGCGGCGUGCCUAAUACAUGCAAGUAGAACGCUGAAGGCGGAGCUUGCUUCUCUGGAUGAGUUGCGAACGGGUGAGUAACGCGUAGGUAACCUGCCUGGUAGCGGGGGAUAACUAUUGGAAACGAUAGCUAAUACCGCAUAAGAGUAGAUGUUGCAUGACAUUUGCUUAAAAGGUGCAAUUGCAUCACUACCAGAUGGACCUGCGUUGUAUUAGCUAGUUGGUGGGGUAACGGCUUACCAAGGCGACGAUACAUAGCCGACCUGAGAGGGUGAACCGCCACACUGGGAGUGAGACACGGCCCAGACUCCUACAGGAGGCAGCAGUAGGGACGCUUGGGAAAUGGACGGAAGUCUGAACGAGGAACGCCGGGCGAGUGCAGAAGGGUUUCGGGUCGGAAAGCGCUGUUGUAAGAGAAGAACGAGUGUGAGAGUGGAAAGUUCACACUGUGACGGUAUCUGAACAGAAAGGGACGGCUAACUACGUG